UCCCUCACUGCCGGCGCGGCCGCGCGACCGCCAUGGGGCGCCACGCAAGGGCGCAGAGCUCCUACGCGCAGCGCUGCGCGUCUCGGCAGCCCACCCCGGCCAACCUUCGCCACGGAUCCCCACUGCCGGUAGUCACGACUCCUCCUCAGCGGCACCGGAGGAAAUUAUUGAAAAAUGGCGGGAGAUUCCCCUCCUCCCCCCGCCGGGCCAGCGCACACACUAACUUGCUCCCCAGUGGCGCCGACAGCGAAUGCUCCAAUAGGCGGACAGCUGGUCAGCGCUCACUGCCUAUUGGCUCGGAGCAGCUGCCGCUCUGCGUCUGGGUCCCGCCCCGCUGCCCCUGCUGCGUAGUUGGGUUGCAGCGCACUAGAGGGCAGUCUGAAGAGGUGAAAGGUCACGUUAUGUAAGCGCUGGUGACAGGCUCACGGGCCACCAGCGGCGGAGUUAAAUGUGGGGGACUGCGGGAACCGAAAGGCUGCGAACUAAAGGAGGCGAGGCUUGUUGGAAAGGGUAACAUAGGAGGGUCUUCGGAAUGAGAAGUUAAAGGACAUCUCAGAAUACGUGCAUUCAUCCAUCAGAUGUGUUCACCAUCACCCGACGAUGUUCCUGGCGCCGUGCUGGAUGCUCUCGGGGGAAAAAAACAAGAGGAGAGACUGCCCUAAAAAUAUAACAGACGCAAAAAAUCAAGAGUUCUGUGUUAAGUGCGCAGCGAGAAAGCGGCCGACUGCCGGAGGGCACGGAGCCUGAGCGGCUACAGCCGGCACCCACAGAGUCCAGAAUCUGGACAGAACAACCAGAAAUGCGCUGAUUAAAUCCUCUCCUUAUUAAAUGGC